rnacentral:rRNA from 1 species
GACGAACGCUGGCGGCGUGCUUAACACAUGCAAGUCGAGCGAUGCCCCUCCUUAGGGUGGGUGUCCUAGCGGCGAACGGGUGAGUAACACGUGGGCAACCUGCCCUCAGCGCUGGGAUAACUCCGGGAAACGGGGGCUAAUACCGGACACGACAUCCACGGGCAACUGCGGAGGCGGAAAGUUUUUCGGCUGGGGAUGGGCCCGCGGCCCAUCAGCUAGUUGGUGGGGUAGUGGCCCACCAAGGCGACGACGGGUAGCCGCCCUGAGAGGGCGACCGGCCACGCUGCGCCUGAGACGCGACCCAGACUAGUACGGGAGGCGACGGUGGAGAAUGUUGCGCAAUGGGCGAAAGCCUGGCGCAGCGACGCCGCGUGGGGGACGAAAGCCUUCGGGUUGUAUACCACUUUCAGCAGGGACGAAGCGAAAGUGACGGUACCUGCAGAAGAAGCACCGGCCAACUACGUG